rnacentral:rRNA from 1 species
GGCAAGUCUGGUGCCAGCAGCCGCGGUAAUUCCAGCUCCAAUAGCGUAUAUUAAAGUUGUUGCAGUUAAAAAGCUCGUAGUUGAACUUUGGGCUUGGUUGGCCGGUCCGCCUUUUUGGCGAGUACUGGACCCAACCGAGCCUUUCCUUCUGGCUAACCAUUCGCCCUUGUGGUGUUUGGCGAACCAGGACUUUUACUUUGAAAAAAUUAGAGUGUUCAAAGCAGGCCUUUGCUCGAAUAUAUUAGCAUGGAAUAAUAGAAUAGGACGUUAUGGUUCUAUUUUGUUGGUUUCUAGGACCAUCGUAAUGAUUAAUAGGGACGGUCGGGGGCAUCAGUAUUCAGUUGUCAGAGGUGAAAUUCUUAGAUUUACUGAAGACUAACUACUGCGAAAGCAUUUGCCAAGGACGUUUUCAUUAAUCAAGAACGAAAGUUAGGGGAUCGA